GGGGGCGGCGGGGGGCGCGGGGCCCUGGAUGGAAGCGGGCCUAGUCCCGGCCACCAUGGCGCUGGGGCUGUCCUCCAAGAAGGCGUCCUCGCGCAACGUGGCGGUGGAGCGCAGGAACCUCAUCACCGUGUGCAGGUUCUCAGUGAAAACUCUGCUGGAGAAGUACACGGCUGAGCCCAUUGACGACUCCUCUGAGGAGUUUGUUAACUUUGCAGCCAUCCUGGAGCAGAUCCUGAGCCACCGUUUCAAAGCCUGUGCCCCAGCAGGGCCCGCCAGCUGGUUCAGCUCAGACGGGCAGCGAGGCUUCUGGGACUACAUCCGCCUGGCCUGCAGCAAGGUGCCCAACAACUGUGUGAGCAGCAUCGAGAGCAUGGAAAACAUCAGCACCGCGCGGGCCAAGGGCCGGGCGUGGAUCCGGGUGGCGCUGAUGGAGAAGCGCAUGUCCGAGUACAUCACCACGGCCGUGCGGGACUCGAGGACGACCAGGCGUUUCUAUGACUCGGGGGCCAUCAUGCUGCGGGAGGAGGCCACGGUGCUCAUAGGCAUGCUCAUCGGGCUGAGUGCCAUCGACUUCAGCUUCUGCCUGAAGGGCGAGGUCCUAGAUGGGAAGACGCCCGUGGUCAUCGACUACACACCCUACAUGAAGUUCACCCAGAGCUACGACUACCUGACGGACGAGGAGGAGCGGCACAGUGCCGAGAGCAGCACCAGCGAGGACAACUCUCCGGAGCACCCCUACCUGCCGCUCGUCACGGAUGAGGACAGCUGGUACAGCAAGUGGCACAAGAUGGAGCAGAAGUUCCGCAUUGUCUACGCGCAGAAGGCGAGUGGGAGAGGGGGCAUGGGAAAGGGGGCCCACGAAGUGGGGGAUCUGCGGGAAGUGGGGGUCCACUGGAAGUGGGGUCCAAGGGGAGCCAGCCCCAGCCAUGCCCCACAGGGCUACCUGGAGGAGCUGGUUCGGCUGCGUGAGUCGCAGCUGAAGGACCUGGAGGCUGAGAACCGGCGGCUGCAGCAGCAGCUGGAGGAGGCCGCAGCACAGAACCAGCGCGAGAAGCGCGAGCUGGAGGGCGUCAUCCUGGAGCUGCAGGAGCAGCUGACAGGUCUGAUCCCCGGUGACCAUGGCCUCCUGGCCCAGGCCUCCAGGGAGCUCACCACCCCCCUGGUCAACCAGUGGUCCUUGCUGGGGACACUCAGCGGCACCGAGGGCGCCAGCAACCCCAAGCUCUACCGGAGGCACAGCUUCCUGAGCACUGAGCCGCUGUCGGCGGAGGCCAGCCUGAGCUCCGACUCCCAGCGCCUGGAGGAGGGCAAGCGGGACGACCAGCCCUGGGGCCCCAUUGGAAGCUUGGAGCCACUCUAGCGGCUCCCUUCGCGUGGACGCCUGGACUCCAGCGCAUGCGUGUUGUUGCCCCGCCCCUCCCCGCCGACCCCCGUAGCCUGCUGCCCCGGCCCUAGGCCUCCCGGGACGGGCCGCCACACUGUGCUCGUGAAGGUGUCCCUCCCCCAGACUGGAAGGACCCCACGCCCUCCAUGCUGGGCCUCUGCGGCUCCCUGGCCUCCAUCCCCAGCUGCAAGUCCCUGGCGAGCUUCAAGUCCAACGAGUGCCUGGUGAGCGACAGCCCGGAGGGCAGCCCGGCCCUAAGCCCCAGCUGAGCAUGGGCGACGCCACCUGUGCAGCUCUGGCCCCCGUGCUUUUCCCCAGCCCAGCCAAGGGGCCCUGGGGAGACCUCGCCGCCUCAGCUUCCUGCUCCAAGAGGAACAGUGGGCAGGGACCACACCAGGGACCCAGGGAGCCGCUCCUCCUCCUGCAGGCCCCAAGGCCUGGCCAGAUCCCUCUGGCUGCUCCCCUGCUGCUGCCUCCCGUCUGACCCCGCACACCCCGGAACCAGCCUU